rnacentral:rRNA from 1 species
UGAACGCUGGCGGUAUGCUUAACACAUGCAAGUCGAACGGAAACGAUACUAGCUUGCUAGUAGGCGUCGAGUGGCGGACGGGUGAGUAACGCGUAGGAAUCUACCUGAUAGUGGGGGAUAGCCCGAAGAAAUUCGGAUUAAUACCGCAUAAUCUAUUCGUAGUAAAGUGGGGGACUUUCGAGCCUCACGCUAUCAGAUGAGCCUGCGUAAGAUUAGCUAGUUGGUAGGGUAAAAGCCUACCAAGGCUACGAUCUUUAGCUGGUCUGAGAGGAUGAUCAGCCACAUCGGGACUGAGACACGGCCCGAACUCCUACGGGAGGCAGCAGUGGGGAAUAUUGGACAAUGGGGGCAACCCUGAUCCAGCAAUACCGCGUGUGUGAAGAAGGCCUGAGGGUUGUAAAGCACUUUCAAUUGUGAAGAAAAGCUAGUGGUUAAUAGCCAUUAGCCUUGACGUUAACUUUAGAAGAAGCACCGGCUAACUCCGUGCCAGCAGCCGCGGUAAUACGGAGGGUGCAAGCGUUAAUCGGAAUUACUGGGCGUAAAGCGUGCGUAGGCGGUUUAUUAAGUCAGAUGUGAAAGCCCCGGGCUUAACCUGGGAACUGCAUUUGAAACUGGUCAACUAGAGUAUGGUAGAGGAAAGUGGAAUUUCUGGUGUAGCGGUGAAAUGCGUAGAUAUCAGAAAGGAACAUCAAUGGCGAAGGCAACUUUCUGGACCAAUACUGACGCUGAGGUACGAAAGCGUGGGUAGCAAACAGGAUUAGAUACCCUGGUAGUCCACGCCGUAAACGAUGAUAACUAGCCGUUGGGGGGAUUUACCCCUUAGUGGCGAAGCUAACGCGUUAAGUUAUCCGCCUGGGGAGUACGGCCGCAAGGUUAAAACUCAAAGGAAUUGACGGGGACCCGCACAAGCGGUGGAGCAUGUGGUUUAAUUCGAUGCAACGCGAAGAACCUUACCUGGUCUUGACAUCCUGAGAACUUUCUAGAAAUAGAUUGGUGCCUUCGGGAACUCAGUGACAGGUGCUGCAUGGCUGUCGUCAGCUCGUGUCGUGAGAUGUUGGGUUAAGUCCCGUAACGAGCGCAACCCCUAUCCUUAUUUGCCAGCACAUCAUGGUGGGAACUAUAAGGAGACUGCCGGUGAUAAACCGGAGGAAGGCGGGGACGACGUCAAGUCAUCAUGGCCCUUACGACCAGGGCUACACACGUGCUACAAUGGGAAGGACAAAGAGCCGCGAAGCCGCGAGGUGUAGCUAAUCUCAGAAACCUUUUCGUAGUCCGGAUUGGAGUCUGCAACUCGACUCCAUGAAGCCGGAAUCGCUAGUAAUCGUAGAUCAGAAUGCUACGGUGAAUACGUUCCCGGGUCUUGUACUCACCG